rnacentral:rRNA from 1 species
ACGGAAGGCAGCAGUCGGGAAUAUUGCGCAAUGGAGGAAACUCUGACGCAGUGACGCCGCGUAUAGGAAGAAGGUUUUCGGAUUGUAAACUAUUGUCGUUAGGGAAGAAAAAAGACAGUACCUAAGGAGGAAGCUCCGGCUAACUAUGUGCCAGCAGCCGCGGUAAUACAUAGGGAGCAAGCGUUAUCCGGAAUUAUUGGGUGUAAAGGGUGCGUAGACGGAGGAGCAAGUUAGUUGUGAAAUCCCUCGGCUUAACUGAGGAACUGCAACUAAAACUACUUCCCUUGAGUGUCGGAGAGGAAAGCGGAAUUCCUAGUGUAGCGGUGAAAUGCGUAGAUAUUAGGAGGAACACCGGUGGCGAAGGCGGCUUUCUGGACGACAACUGACGUUGAGGCGCGAAAGUGUAGGGAGCAAACAGGAUUAGAUACCCUGGUA